AGUGCAAAAAACUGGUACAAAGCUAAAGAAACUUGGUGGCUUGCAAUCGAGAGUUCGAAUCUCUCACUCACCGCCA
rnacentral:tRNA from 1 species